rnacentral:lncRNA from 10 species
AGCAGCUGUAAAUAACACAGUGCUAUUCGAGCCAAUUGCUCUGAACCGGGUGAUAUGAUCAUAUUCUUUUUAACGACUUUCUCUGAGGUAUGAGUUGAGAUUUUUCUCCUUCAUCCUCAUGCUGUAUAAUCUGGAUUUAUGUUCAACGUGACCGUUGAGCCUUCACAAUGAAUUUGUCCUGUGAAAAGAUCAGUUGAUACGGAGCCUGGAUCCCAGAUUCUCACCACAGAGUGGGCGCUCAUUAUUUGCACGUCAGCAUCUAAGUCAUCAAUCUCUAGCAGCCACACUCACCCAGAUGAAGCUCCAAACCCAGGGCAUGAAUCUGAAGGCAUAUUGAGCUGAAACAGCUACGUCAUUUUUUAACUGUGAGGGGAGAAUCUGAGAAUCUGAGAAGAUGAGAAUGGAGCCAAGAUAGCAUAAAGUGGAUCCAAGAAAUGGAGAGAAAGAAACACUUUGUCAGGAAUAUUGAGUGACAUAGAUGAGCACAUUAAUGGAGAGGGAGAGGUGGGCCUGUUUCAAUCCAGGGAAAGGCCUUAAAAGCAGAGCUGAUUGAGACUUUCCUCAUGAAGAAAUUCCUGUAGACAGCAGGCAACAUCAGCUCCUAACCAGGGGUUCCAGCCUGCCCUUCCCGACUGCCUGUCAUAUGGAUUUUGAUUGCCUAACCAAUCCCCACAGUUGCAUAGGCCAAUUCUUUACAAUGAAUCUUUGAAUAUAUAUAUCUCCUACUGAUUCUGUAUCUUUGCCUGUACCUUGACUAAUACAAGGCCCAAGCAUGAAUUCAUUCAGCAAAUAGGAAAAGUUUUCUGUAUACUAAGAAUUGUUCUAGUUACCAAGGAUGCUAUAGAGAACAAACUAGAUAUUGCCCUGAUCAUCAUUUGAACUAAU